rnacentral:misc_RNA from 1 species
GAUGAAGAACGCAGCGAAAUGCGUUAAGUAAUGUGAAUUGCAGAAUUCAGUGAAUCAUCGAAUCUUUGAACGCACAUUGCGCCCGCCAGUAUUCUGGCGGGCAUGCCUGUUCGAGCGUCAUUUCAACCAUCAAGCCCCAGGCUUGUGUUGGGGACCUGCGGCUGCCGCAGGCCCUGAAAACCAGUGGCGGGCUCGCUGUCACACCGGGCGUAGUAGAUUUUAUCUCGCUCAGGGCGUGCUGCGGGUUCCGGCCGUUAAAAAGCCUUUUUUACCCAAGGUUGACCUCGGAUCAGGUAGGAAGACCCGCUGAACUUAAGCAUAUCAAUAAGCGGAGGA